rnacentral:tRNA from 1 species
GCCGGAGUGGUGGAACUGGCAGACGCGCUGGACUCAAAAUCCAGUGGACCCAAAGUCCGUGAGGGUUCAAAUCCCUCCUCCGGCA